rnacentral:ncRNA from 1 species
GAUUAAUCCUCCAAUCUUCCACGACUAACAUAGAAGGCAAUAGAAGAACAAAUUGUUGAAGCAGAAAUCAUCUUUUGUUGGAUGUCGUUUGUCAACAAAACUAGUAUUUCUAGAUCUAAUACGUGCACAAGGCCUGACUUCACGGAAGCGCUGUCUUUAUUAGAUAAAAGAUCGAUGCAGGGCUUGCUCUGGUGUUUGAUGAAUCAUGAUAACUCAACGAAUCGCACGGCCUUAGCAUUGACGAUGUUUCAUUCAAAUUUCUGCCCUAUCAACUUUAGACGGUAGAAUAGAGGUCUGCCGUGGUGGUAACGGAUGACGGAAAAUUAGAGUUUGAUUCUCAAGAGGUAGCCUGAGAAACAGCUACCACAUCCAAGGCAGCAAGCACGCAAAUUACCCAACCUUGAGAGGGCGAGGUAGUGAUAAUAAAUAACAAUACUGGGCUUUUACAAAUCUGAUAAUUGGAUUGAGUACAAUCUAAAUUCCUUUACGAGAAUCCAUUGAAGGGCAAGUCUGGUGCCAGCAGCCGUGGUAUUUUCAGCUUUAAUAGUGUAUAUUUAAGUUGUUCCAGUUAAAAAGCGUGUAGUUGGAUCUUGAAAGAAGGUGAGCAGUACCUUUUGAUGUGCACUGGCGGCCCCUUUCUUUUUGGCCGGGGACGCGCAUCUGGCCUUCACUAGUCGGGCCGCGGAGUCAGCGAUGUUACUUGGAAAAAAUUAUAGUGCUCAAAAUAAGCCAUAUGCUAGGAAUACAUUAGCAUGAAAUAACGCGAUAGUACUUUGAUCUUAUUGCUUUGGUUCAAUCAUUACUCCGGUCUUAUUGGAACUAGAGUAAUGAUUGAUAGGGUUAGUUGUUGGAGACAUUUGUAUUUCAUGGUCAGAGAUGAAAUUCUUGGAUUCAUGAAAGAUAAACUUCUGCGAAAGCAUUUGCCAAGGUUUUUUCAUUAAUCAAGAACAAAAGUUGGGGGCUCGAAGACGAUCAGAUACCGUCAUAGUCUCAACCAUAAAUGAUGCCGACUAGGUAUCAGUGGUUUGUCAACAAAAUUGUCACUACCUCGUUGUAAGUGAUGUUUUCUUUGUCUCGAUGAAGC